GAGCCACGCCAUCUUAGCGCGCACACAAUCUUUUCGUCAGAAGCAGCAGGGAAAACCAGUCCCUAAUUCGACAUCCUUUCAGAGGGAUGAAUCAGAUCACAGGGAGCUGAGGAAUUCCAAGGCACCAAAGAAUCAUAAAACCCCCAGUCUGUUUCUCAACAAAGAGCAACCCAGAACAGAUCCAAAGUUAAUCCUUAUGAAGCUGAAGCACAAACAGAACUAUGACUUGGAUAUGGGGAUUAAUGAGAGGAAGGAAAAUCCAUAUGAACAUGGGGAUAAUUUCGUAUGUAACUCUGCAAAAGUAAGCUCCAAUGCAUCAUUUUAUAUGAAUUGUAUUUGGUUAGUUUACUGCUAUAAAAUCAUGAUGCAAAUCUCAAGGUGCUUGUUUUGUAGAAUCAAUCGGAGCAAAAUCAGUUGCCUAACUUUGAGUCUUAUUUUGUGGAGGAAGCAGAAGGUUCAGGUAUUUACCUUGGACUGGCUUCCAAUCUGUAGCAAUGAUCAUUCCGAAGUUUUUAUCAGUAUAUAUGCCUUUAACAAUCCUGAUGACUAUAUUUGUAGGUGGUUAUGGGACGGUGUACAGGGCAAGGAGAAAGAGUGAUGGAGUGAAGUUUGCAAUUAAAUGUAUGAUAACACAAGCUCGUGUAUUAUAUUAAAUUUAAAUUUCUUUGAUUUGCUAUAUUUGGAUCAUAUGAAUCGGGGAUCCUUUAGCAGUUGAAUGUUGUUUUGUUCAUGCAUAUUGUUGAAUUUGACUGGUUAACUUCCAUGAUAUAUAUGUGGAUAGAUGUAGGUUGAUACUCAUUAACGUUAUUGAGCUAGGUCAAAGGGAGAACAUAUUGAAGUACAUGUUGACAAUGCAUCAAAAGAUUUGAGACAUUCUUCUGUCUUCAUUAUUACUUGGUUCCAUUGUGGCACUGUCUUUUGCUAUUUAGAUAUCUAUAUCAGUUUGAGGCAUUGCAUUAACUCUUGUGAAUUGUUCCCGUGUUGAAAAGUUGCUUCAUUAUCAAACAAAUGGUCAAAUGGAGCAUCUAUGCCCUUUUCGGCGUUUUCUCUGAUACAAAUCCAUGUAUGCUGUAACUGGGGGUCAAAUUUAGUGCUCCUGAGGUGAUCAUUAUAAUCGAUACGUUGAUUGUGCCUUUUGCAGGUCCUCACUCAAAUGCUAACAGAACACAUGUCCAUAAUGAGUUAAAGAUGCUACAGCGUUUUGGGUAAUGAUAUGGGAGAUUGUUUUGAGGAACCAUGGAUACAACAUUAAUUUAUGCAUAUAUUAUAUCUAUAGCUAUAUAUGCACCACGAGAAUUCUUCUAAGACCUUUGCUUUAUGACAGGGGAAAGAACUUUGUAAUUAAGUAUGAAGGAUCAUUCAAGAAUGGAAAUUCUGACUGCCUUGUUCUAGAGCAUGUUGAGCAUGAUAGGCCAGAUGUUGGUUUCUAUUUUUAAUCUUUUGAGUUAUCUAGUUUAAACAUAUUAUAGUCGUUAUUUUAACAUGUUUACUGUCAUGGUUCUUACUCAAGGUCUUGAAAAGAGAGAUGGAUGUUUCCCAGCUGCGGUGGUAUGGCUAUUGCAUGUUCAGGGCACUUGCUGGUUUACAUAAACAGGUAAGAGAGAAAAGAUGCAAACGAACUGAAUGGGUUUCCUGUAAACACAACUUGACUUCUAAUUUUCUUACAUGCAGGGUAUUGUUCAUAGAGACGUUAAACCUGGAAACUUUCUUUUUUCAAGAAAGGUUGAUAAAGGUUACCUUAUCGACUUUAACCUUGCCCUGGUGAGUGGUCUAUCCAACUUCGUAGGCAUUUUCUUCUUGUUAUGUUUUUGAACUUGAACAAUCAAUUGACAUUUUCCUUUAUCCAUUUGCUGCAUAGGAUCUGCACCAAAAAUAUGGAACGUCAGGUACUUCCUCUUCGUGCUGAUUUCCUUCGCUUGAAAGAUGUCUUGUGCUUCCAAGUUCCAUGGCAUCAUGAUCUUAAGUUUCCCUUCAACAGAAGAAUGAGCUUCUUUAAGGAAAAAAUGCAUCAUGUUGAAUAAUGUUUUAACUCCGAAUAAUGUUGAAUAUUUCAAGUUCAAUCUUCCCCACUUUUCUUGUAAUUUAGCAAUUGAAUGUUCACCAAGAACUGCAUAUGUAUAAUUCACAGAUAAGACAAAGUCGAUCCAUACCACGAGCUUUAGUGGUGAUCCUAUUCCUCUUGCCAAGUCUCUUCCUCCAAUAAAACAGAGAAACUCAACUAUUAAACUUGGGGAAGACAUCAACGAGGAAGCAGGAAAAGGCGUAAAGUCUCUAAUAAGACACAAAAACGUUAAAAGGAAGGCUGACCAAGAUAAGGUUGGCAGUGAUAUUGCAUAUAGGAGUAUUAUAAAAAGUAAAUGCGCUGAUGGUUCGGGGAUAACCUCAGCCAAGGAUGCCACAAGCAAUAGGACUCCAUCAGCAGAAAGGUUGAGAGAACCCCUUCCACGUCUUGGUAGGAAGGCGCUGAUUGACAUAGCUGCGGAAG
rnacentral:lncRNA from 1 species